UACAAGGCUCCUGAUAUAUUGUUACGAUAGCAGUUGAAAAAUACAUAGGCACAAUUUUUUUUACAAGCACUUAAGCCAAUGGUUCGUAUGACUUCAAUAAGUAGGUAGAGUGCUUUGACCCAUUUUCAUGAACGCUUAAAUGUUCUAUUGCAAUAUUGUCCAAUAUUUAACCACAGACGUGCCCUAACGCUAACGGCCUAGUCCUGACGCCCUGCAGUAGUCCCUAGAUAAGUAUACACGCUGAAUAAAUAUUUGACUAAAUUUUCCCUGCAGUACAAAUAAUUGUACAAAGUAUAAUCUGGCCACGUCUCGAAUACUGUAAUAUUACUAACCUUUUAACCUUUUAACUAAUAUACUAGCCGUAUAUCGUACCUCUCAGUAGUGCAUGAGCACCAGCCACAGAGUGCACGAGCACCAGUCAUCUCGUCAACAACCCCUCUCGAGUGCAUGAGCACCAGACGGCAAACAGCAUCCAAACCACAACUUUUCUACACCGAAUUCUACGAGCUGCAACUGGACUCCUUGUGUUGAGCAAUAAUCAGUGCGUGUUCGUUAUUUCGAGUUGUUUAAUUUUAAAUAUUAUUUCGUGUCACCUAAAACUGAUGCAGCAUAGCCCAGGGACGGCUGCGAGUCAGAUUCUGGCCACAACAAUUGGCAUUGCGUAGCAAUGAAAAACGAUAAACACUACACAGCACAGUCGUACAGAUUAUAUAAUUAAAAUCAAUAUACAAGUGGAAUAUAAUUUCGUUUAGCAUUUUUCGGACAGUCAAUUAAUGCAACAUUUUCAAAAUCUAUUAUAUAAGACAGUGAAAACGUAUAACUUACAAACACCAUCAUAUAAUACUUGUGCACUAUUUGUGAUGACGUCAGGUCGUAUAGUUUGCUUAAUACCGUUCGGCCGGAGUUUUGCUAGGACUUUUACAUAUAUAUGUAUAUGUAUAUAUUAUAGGUGAUAUGUACAGGCAGCCCAAUAAAGACGUGACCAAACGUUAUAUACUAAUAUAGAAUGAAGAUAUAUGACAAUUUAAGAACAAAGCGACCUAAAGUUUUACAUUUCUAAUAUUUGGUCGAUGUUUGCACUUUGCUGUACGGUCUGUAUACAUAAUAUGUUUGUAGGUUCAACUUAUUGUCUAACGGGUCUUCAUAUCAACGCACCAAACGUAUAUGGUAUAUGCACUAUUUGCAUGGAAUCAGAAGUCAAAACGUCAGGUCGUAUAUAGUUCGCUUAGUACCGUCCGAACGAAGUCUUGCUAGGACUUUUACUUUUGUGUAUAAGAUACCUACAUUUAUAGUAGGUAUAUUAUAGCUUAUAAUAGGUACUAUGUAUAGCCGCGUAUAGAACCACCAAUAAAGACAUGACUGAACGUUAUACAAAUAUAUUAAUAUGGACGCAAUAUGAAAUUAAACAACAACGUGACUUAAAGUUUUUACAGUUUCAAAUAUUCGGUCUUGACUGGACGGCAGCGGACUCCUUUAACAUAGUUUUGUAUGUUCAAUAGUACAAGCAGGUCUUCGUGUCAACGCAUUAUAGAUACGUAUAAUACGUAAUAUUCGUCUGCAGGACGUCAGGUCGUAUUAUACUUUGUUACCUGACCAUAGUUUUGCUAGGACUUUCACUUUUGUGUACAUGCAAUAUAGUAUAUACUAUAUAAUAUUAUUAUAUUAUACAUUUACAGGAUUCCCAAUAAGUGCAUGGUCAAAUGUUAUACAAAAUAUAGAACAAAGAUAUUAUACGAUAAGUUAUCAUUGAUAACUGAAGGACGACAUGACUUAAAGCUUUAAGCCUUUAAAUUUCUAAUAUUUGGUUGAUGUUUACCGGACUUCCUGUACACAUGUUUGUAGGUUCAACUUAUACUGUCUGACGGGUCUUCAUAAAGCGUACCAAACGUAUAUACUAUUUUCAAGGAGUCAGAAGUCAGAACGUCGCAGGUCGUAUUAUAUAGUUUGCUUAGUAUCGCCCGGCCGAAGUUUGGCUACCUCUUCCACUUUUGUGUAUACAUUUAUGAUUUAUAGUAUAUUAUAUCUUAUAAUAUUAUGUAUAGUACCACCAAUAAAUAUAUGACUGGACGUUAUACAAAUAUAAUGCGUAUAUAUAUGAAUAUAUUAUGACAAUUAAAGAGCAACGUGACUUAAAGUUUCUACGAUUUCAAAUAUUCGAUAUUAAUUCCUCUGUCUUGACUGGACCACGGACUCCUUUCACAUACCUAAUUUUGUAUGUUCAACAGUGCAAGCAGGACUUUGUGUCAACGCAUUAUACAUAUUAUAUGUAAUAUUCGUCUGCAGGACGUCAGGUCGUAUUAUACUUUGCUAUACAUUCAUGAUCGUAGUUUUACUAGGACUUUUACUUUCUUGUGUGCAGUAUAAUAUAUAACAUAUAUAUAUAUAUAUAUUUAUUAUAGAUAAUAUAUGUACGCAGGAUGCCCCAAUAAAGACAUGACAAAACGUUAAACUAUUAGAAUGAAGAUAUAUUAUUUUGAUAAUUAAAGAACAACGUGACUAAAGUUUUACAUUUCUAAUAUUUGGUUGAUGUUUACUGGACGUCCUGUAUUAAUAUGUUUGUAGGUUCAAUAAUACUUACUGUCUGACGGAUCUUCAUAUCAACGCACCAAAAGUAUGCACUAUUUGCAAAGAGUCAGAAGUCAGAACGUCAGGUCGUAUUCGUAUAGUUUGCUUAGUACCGUCCGAGCGAAGUUUUGCUAGGACUUUUACUUUUGUAUAUACAUAUAUAUAUAUAGAUAGGUACAGAUAUAUUAUAGGUAAUAUGUACAGGCCGACCAAUAAAGAAGAGACCAAACGUUAUAUCUACUAUAAGAAAUAAGAAUGAAGAUAUAUUAUGAUAAUUUAAGAACAAAGCGACCUAAAGUUUUACAUUUCUAAUAUUUGGUUGAUGUUUACUGGACGUCCUGUAUGUAAUAUGUUUGUAGGUUCAACUUAAUGUCUAACGGGUCUUCGUAUCACGGGAUGCACUAUUUGCAUGGAAUCAGAAGUCAAAACGUCAGGUCGUAUAUAGUUCGCUUAGUACCGUCCGAACGAAGUCUUGCUAGGACUUUUACUUUUGUGUAUACAUUUAUAGUAUAUUAUAUUUUAUAAUAUGUAUAGGACCACCAAUAAAGACAUGACUAAACGUUGUACAAACUUAAUGUGGAUAUAUGGACAUAUGGUCAAACGUUAUACAAAAUAUAGAACAAAGAUAUCAAUAUAUUAUGAUAACUAAAGCACAGCGUGACUUAAAGUUUUAAAUUUUUAAUAUUUGGUCGAUUGUUGGUUUUUAUUGGACGCCCUGUACAAUUUUUAGCAGGAUAUGAAUAUCGAGUUUGUGGUUCACUGCCUUCCACUACACUUAUAUUAUGCACUUAUAGUCUAUAGUCGCGUGUGCCGUAUAUGCGUAUCUAUAAUAUUAUAUCAAAUAUAUGGUUUGAUGGACAACGGAAGCCCGAAUUACUUACGUAACAUGUGUUUCCCGGAGCGCCCGUCUCAUCUCAGCUUCCUACAACAGUUGUCAGACGCGCGGACUAUAGUUGGAAGUCCUUCGGGCUUCCGGUAAAUGAUUUAAUCACACUAAUGUUUCAAUUUACAUACGAGUAAAUCUUUGUUUUAUUUUGUUUUGGGGUAUUACGAUUGUUGUCGUUAUUGGACAUUGUGAAAAUGGGGCCUAUACUCGCUGCAAUGAUCGGAGUGGAGUGGAGUCGAUGGCCGUUGAAACGAAGAAGAAUAGGUAUAACAAAAUAAUCUAUAUAGUUUUGAGCACAUCGUUCCAGCGACCAGCAGUGUGGAUAAACUUUCAUAACCUUACAAAUGUAUUAAUUUGAUGGAAAUAAAGACAUUUUUUGAGUUAAUUAUUAUUGACAUUUUAUAACUUGUACUCAAUGACGAGGUAGGUAGGUACACUCGAUGUCUCGACAAGUACGGUUUAGUACGCCAGAGACGACUCUGUACCAAAAAACGCCGGUUUUUAAACAAAACUUUUUAAAAAUCUAUUGGGACCGAAACAUAAUUUUUUUUAGGAACCUCGUAACCUACCUAUUUGUUGAUGUAGAGGUAUUUUUGGUUCAAAAUUCUAAUAGAUAUUUUUAUCUAUUCAUAACGGAUAGUAGUAGGUACUAGGUACAUAUAAUAACUGCAGGGCUCGUAACUUAUUCAUACACCAAAAAACGCAUAAAUAAGUAUGCAUUCAUGCACUAAAAAUUGUCAAAAUAUGAACUGAAAAGUUCGAAAAUAUUCAUUUAUACGGCCAUUUAACAUU